rnacentral:rRNA from 1 species
CCUACGGGUGGCAGCAGUGAGGAAUAUUGGUCAAUGGUCGGAAGCCUGAACCAGCCAAGUAGCGUGCGGGAUGAAGGCCCUAUGGGUUGUAAACCGCUUUUGCACGGGGAUAAAAUCCUCCACGUGUGAAGUUCUGCAGGUACCGUGCGAAUAAGGGCCGGCUAAUUCCGUGCCAGCAGCCGCGGUAAUACGGAAGGGCCGAGCGUUAUCCGGAUUCAUUGGGGUUAAAGGGAGCGUAGGCGGGGCGUUAAGCUCGCGGGUAAAUCCCGUGGCUCAACCAGGGCACCGCAGUGGAAACUGGCCGCCUUGAGUUCACAACAGGCAGGCGGAAUUCGUGGUGUAGCGGUGAAAUGCAUAGAUAUCACGAGGAACCCCGAUUGCGAAGGCAGCCUGCGGGAGCGCGACUGACGCUGAGGCUCGAAGGUGCGGGUAUCAAACAGGAUUAGAUACCCUAGUAGUC